UUUUCCAUUACAUAAGCAUGGUUUUACAUAGGCCAUAUUAAAUGCAUGUCAUGUUACAAUACUUUGUUUGAUCUCAAAGGGAAGAAAGAACUUGAUAGCCCAUGUCACCUAUGUUUCAUGCUCACACUUGGUCAAGAUACUUCAAGCAACACUUGGAAUAGCAUCUUGCUUCAAGGCCAUGGCUCUUUGACUCAUGUUUCAAUAUAAUCAUGGAAAACAACUAGCCAUAACAGGCCUACAACAAUACAACAGAAGCCUUACAUCAGUCCUACAAAUGUAUCAAUCCAAAUCAUCAUCAAACCAUACAUGAACCUUCCCCAAACCAUGAUGCAAACCAAGAUCAUGGCAUGAAUUUACAGCAAACAAUUUACCUGCAAGAAGACCAACCAAGCAACCAAUCCAACCUGCCAUCAUCAUCAACAUCAAUAAACAACAUUACUCUUCCAUAGCAGCAAUGCAACCAACCCUGUUAUGCCAUGCUGCAAAACCCGCAAUCCUCAACCAAGCAACAGUUCAAGCCAAACAACAUUAAUUCCUCCAAAACAACCUUGCAUCAUUAUGCAUCAAAACUUGCUCCAUUCAAAACCCUGUCAUUCAUCAUCAGCUUCUAUACCGAGC
rnacentral:lncRNA from 1 species